rnacentral:lncRNA from 1 species
AACGUUUGACCAUGGAAACUGUUUGAGUUUUCGUAGAUGAACUUCAGUGAAGAAGCAGCGCCACAGCUCAUUGACAAGGAAAUUGUACGCACCCUUUUAUCUCUGUGAAUGAUGAGAAUCACAACUCUAUAGCUUGGUUUCGGAGCACAUGUAACUAGUUUGUUCUACAUUUGCUCCUCUGGUAUCAUCAGUGUCCUUUGUGCCUAUUUUCGGAGCAGACGAACAAUUCCAGAAAAGAAAAUACACCUGCGCCACUAUAUUUACAUGCCGCUAGAUAAAUGUUGAAAAAAUAUUGAGCUCCAUGGGAUGUCAAAACAAGAGUUGAGCUCCACCUUGUACUUAAUGAUGGCACUCGUGCUCUGUCUCACUUAAUGCACAAGUGUGCGAUCAAACAGGGCAUGCCACUAACUCGUGGCUUCGUGUGGUUGUUUAUCACAAUUUUACCACAGUAGAAGUUUCAGAGACCAUGGUUAUGAUCAUAUUUGAGAACCAUGGUGGACUUUCUGAUGAUCCCCGUAUUUGCCUCGAACUAGUCAGGUGGCAUUAAUACAACAGCAGGACUCUUGGCAAAAUAGAAAAGUCUCCAUGGAUGACUUUGACUGUGACUCUGGAUGGGUGACACACGGAUACUUGUCUAAAUGACCAAACAUUUGAUAAAGACAUGCCAACUGUCCGAGCAGUAUGAAAAUAUUGACUAGUAAAUCUAAUAUUCAUAGUAAGUAGAUUCAAAUUUACUAUUGUUCCAUAGCAAAAUGCAUGUACAUUUACUUAUAUUUGCAUUUGUCUUCUUGCCUUGGAACUCCUUUAAUCCUUUUACCUUUUACAUGGCAUCCAAUAUAUGCGCACUCUACUCUGGCAAAGGUUGACAGUGAAAGUUGUUUUGGGCUUUCUAGAUGAACUUUGGUGGAGAAGCAGCACCGCAACUCAUCGGCAAGGGACGAUAUGCGCCCUUUUAUCUUGGUCAGUGAUGAUGAGAAUCAUAGCUGAUAGCUCCAUGCUUCAGUAAUCUUUCAGGAGACACGCAACCUGUUUAUUUGUACAUUUGCUCCAUGCUUCAGUCUGUAAUCGAAAACUGUUGCAUCUUAAACAUCCUUCAUGGUUGUGGAUUCUUCAUGGUUCUGAUAGUAUGGUGCAAAACUGGUUUUGUUUCCUUUCAAAACUGGGAGUUGCUUUACCCUUGUAAUCACUAGAAUAUCCGUUCAAAACUAACUGGUAGCAUUUGCACAUUAUUUUUUUAGGCUUGUUAGAGCAAUUACAGAUGCACGAGACACUGAAAUUUGCACAUCUGUAUGCCAGUUUUGGAGGGCUAACCUCGUCGAAGCCUGCACUGUCUUGGAGGACUCGGUACCUUGAGGUAUCGAGCAGAUGUGACCUCGGUACAUGUCCUCUGAGAGGAUCUUGAGCUGCAUCAUCAUCCCAUAGUUGGUUAGGUAUCGGGUACCCGCCUCCUGGAUGACGGUGCCAACUCUCAUCAGGAGAAGCUGCAACCUCUCCACCACCUUCUGCUCCUCUGAUUGUGCAUGGAUGGACGAGCGGUACUUGUUCAUCAGGAAGGAGAUGAGGUUUGCUGCCAGUUGGUCUGUGGACAAAUUUGACUAGGCUGGCCUCUGCCAAGUCUUGAAGAGACUCCUGGCAAAAUAGACAACUGUCCAAGCAGGAUGAGAAAAAGACUGACCCACCAGUAUUUGUAAUAUUCACGGUCGGUCCAGAUUGAUUAUUAUCCCAUGGCAAAAUGUAUAUUUGAUCAUCUUUACAUUUUUCUUUUGUUGGACUGCUUACAUUUUACAUACGGGGGAAUGACACUUUACUUACAGAUGUGCAACUUUUGACCAUGGUCCAUGGAAUUUGUUCCAGAUGAACUUCAGAGGAGACUGGAGAAGAGGCGGGUAAAUCAUCUGCAAAGGAAUACGAUACAGGCCCUUUUUAUCUUG